rnacentral:rRNA from 1 species
AUACGGAGGGUGCAAGCGUUGUUCGGAAUCACUGGGCGUAAAGGGUGCGUAGGCGGUUUGAUAAGUCUGAUGUGAAAUCCUAUGGCUCAACCAUAGAACUGCAUUGGAAACUGUCAGACUAGAAUACUGAAGGGGCAGAUGGAAUUAGUGGUGUAGAGGUAAAAUCCGUAGAUAUCACUAGGAAUACCGAAAGCGAAAGCGAUCUGCUGGGAAGUUAUUGACGCUGAGGCACGAAAGCGUGGGGAGCAAACGGGAUUAGAAACCCUAGUAGUCC